GACGAGCGCUGGCGGCGUGCUUAACACAUGCAAGUCGAACGAAGAGCGAUGGAAGCUUGCUUCUAUCAAUCUUAGUGGCGAACGGGUGAGUAACGCGUAAUCAACCUGCCCUUCAGAGGGGGACAACAGUUGGAAACGACUGCUAAUACCGCAUACGAUCUAACCUCGGCAUCGAGGAAAGAUGAAAGGUGGCCUCUAUGUAUAAGCUAUCACUGAAGGAGGGGAUUGCGUCUGAUUAGCUAGUUGGAGGGGUAACGGCCCACCAAGGCGAUGAUCAGUAGCCGGUCUGAGAGGAUGAACGGCCACAUUGGGACUGAGACACGGCCCAGACUCCUACGGGAGGCAGCAGUGGGGAAUCUUCCGCAAUGGACGAAAGUCUGACGGAGCAACGCCGCGUGAGUGAUGACGGCCUUCGGGUUGUAAAGCUCUGUUAAUCGGGACGAAAGGCCUUCUUGCGAAUAGUGAGAAGGAUUGACGGUACCGGAAUAGAAAGCCACGGCUAACUACGUG
rnacentral:rRNA from 1 species